UUUGGUUAAGUUAGAAAGGGCGCACGGUGGAUGCCUUGACACUAGGAGUCGAUGAAGGACGGGACUAACGCCGAUAUGCUUCGGGGAGCUGUAAGUAAGCUUUGAUCCGAAGAUUUCCGAAUGGGGAAACCCACCAUACGUAAUGGUAUGGUAUCCUUAUCUGAAUACAUAGGGUAAGGAAGACAGACCCAGGGAACUGAAACAUCUAAGUACCUGGAGGAAGAGAAAGCAAAUGCGAUUUCCUGAGUAGCGGCGAGCGAAACGGAACAUAGCCCAAACCAAGAGGCUUGCCUCUUGGGGUUGUAGGACAUUCUAUACGGAGUUACAAAGGAACGAGGUAGACGAAGCGACCUGGAAAGGUCCGUCGUAGAGGGUAACAACCCCGUAGUCGAAACUUCGUUCUCUCUUGAAUGUAUCCUGAGUACGGCGGAACACGUGAAAUUCCGUCGGAAUCUGGGAGGACCAUCUCCCAAGGCUAAAUACUCCCUAGUGAUCGAUAGUGAACCAGUACCGUGAGGGAAAGGUGAAAAGCACCCCGGAAGGGGAGUGAAAGAGAUCCUGAAACCGUGUGCCUACAAAUAGUCAGAGCCCGUUAACGGGUGAUGGCGUGCCUUUUGUAGAAUGAACCGGCGAGUUACGAUCCCGUGCGAGGUUAAGCUGAAGAGGCGGAGCCGCAGCGAAAGCGAGUCUGAAUAGGGCGUUUAGUACGUGGUCGUAGACCCGAAACCAGGUGAUCUACCCAUGUCCAGGGUGAAGUUCAGGUAACACUGAAUGGAGGCCCGAACCCACGCACGUUGAAAAGUGCGGGGAUGAGGUGUGGGUAGCGGAGAAAUUCCAAUCGAACCUGGAGAUAGCUGGUUCUCCCCGAAAUAGCUUUAGGGCUAGCCUUAAGUGUAAGAGUCUUGGAGGUAGAGCACUGAUUGGACUAGGGGUCCUCAUCGGAUUACCGAAUUCAGUCAAACUCCGAAUGCCAAUGACUUAUCCUUAGGAGUCAGACUGCGAGUGAUAAGAUCCGUAGUCAAAAGGGAAACAGCCCAGACCGCCAGCUAAGGUCCCAAAGUGUGUAUUAAGUGGAAAAGGAUGUGGAGUUGCUUAGACAACUAGGAUGUUGGCUUAGAAGCAGCCACCAUUUAAAGAGUGCGUAAUAGCUCACUAGUCGAGUGACUCUGCGCCGAAAAUGUACCGGGGCUAAAUACACCACCGAAGCUGCGGAUUGAUACCAAUGGUAUCAGUGGUAGGGGAGCGUUCUAAGGACAGUGAAGUCAGACCGGAAGGACUGGUGGAGUGCUUAGAAGUGAGAAUGCCGGUAUGAGUAGCGAAAGACGGGUGAGAAUCCCGUCCACCGAAUGCCUAAGGUUUCCUGAGGAAGGCUCGUCCGCUCAGGGUUAGUCAGGACCUAAGCCGAGGCCGACAGGCGUAGGCGAUGGACAACAGGUUGAUAUUCCUGUACCACCUCUUUAUCGUUUGAGCAAUGGAGGGACGCAGAAGGAUAGAAGAAGCGUGCGAUUGGUUGUGCACGUCCAAGCAGUUAGGCUGAUAAGUAGGCAAAUCCGCUUAUCGUGAAGGCUGAGCUGUGAUGGGGAAGCUCCUUAUGGAGCGAAGUCUUUGAUUCCCCGCUGCCAAGAAAAGCUUCUAGCGAGAUAAAAGGUGCCUGUACCGCAAACCGACACAGGUAGGCGAGGAGAGAAUCCUAAGGUGUGCGAGAGAACUCUGGUUAAGGAACUCGGCAAAAUGACCCCGUAACUUCGGGAGAAGGGGUGCUUUCUUAACGGAAAGCCGCAGUGAAUAGGCCCAAGCGACUGUUUAGCAAAAACACAGCUCUCUGCGAAGCCGUAAGGCGAAGUAUAGGGGGUGACACCUGCCCGGUGCUGGAAGGUUAAGGAGAGGGGUUAGCGUAAGCGAAGCUCUGAACUGAAGCCCCAGUAAACGGCGGCCGUAACUAUAACGGUCCUAAGGUAGCGAAAUUCCUUGUCGGGUAAGUUCCGACCCGCACGAAAGGUGUAACGAUUUGGGCACUGUCUCAACCAGAGACUCGGUGAAAUUAUAGUACCUGUGAAGAUGCAGGUUACCCGCGACAGGACGGAAAGACCCCGUGGAGCUUUACUGUAGCCUGAUAUUGAAUUUUGGUACAGUUUGUACAGGAUAGGCGGGAGCCUUUGAAACCGGAGCGCUAGCUUCGGUGGAGGCGCUGGUGGGAUACCGCCCUGACUGUAUUGAAAUUCUAACCUACGGGUCUUAUCGACCCGGGAGACAGUGUCAGGUGGGCAGUUUGACUGGGGCGGUCGCCUCCUAAAGUGUAACGGAGGCGCCCAAAGGUUCCCUCAGAAUGGUUGGAAAUCAUUCGUAGAGUGCAAAGGCAUAAGGGAGCUUGACUGCGAGACCUACAAGUCGAGCAGGGACGAAAGUCGGGCUUAGUGAUCCGGUGGUUCCGCAUGGAAGGGCCAUCGCUCAACGGAUAAAAGCUACCCCGGGGAUAACAGGCUUAUCUCCCCCAAGAGUCCACAUCGACGGGGAGGUUUGGCACCUCGAUGUCGGCUCAUCGCAUCCUGGGGCUGUAGUCGGUCCCAAGGGUUGGGCUGUUCGCCCAUUAAAGCGGUACGCGAGCUGGGUUCAGAACGUCGUGAGACAGUUCGGUCCCUAUCCGUCGUGGGCGUAGGAAAUUUGAGAGGAGCUGUCCUUAGUACGAGAGGACCGGGAUGGACGCACCGCUGGUGUACCAGUUGUUCUGCCAAGGGCAUAGCUGGGUAGCUAUGUGCGGAAGGGAUAAGUGCUGAAAGCAUCUAAGCAUGAAGCCCCCCUCAAGAUGAGAUUUCCCAUAGCGUAAGCUAGUAAGAUCCCUGAAAGAUGAUCAGGUUGAUAGGUUCGAGGUGGAAGCAUGGUGACAUGUGGAGCUGACGAAUACUAAUAGAUCGAGGACUUAACCAUAUAAUAUUA
rnacentral:rRNA from 1 species